rnacentral:rRNA from 1 species
UGCCAGACUCCUACGGGAGGCAGCAGUGGGGAAUAUUGCACAAUGGGGGAAACCCUGAUGCAGCGACGCCGCGUGAGUGAAGAAGUAUUUCGGUAUGUAAAGCUCUCUCAGCAGGGAAGAAAAUGACGGUACCUGAUUAAGAAGCCCCGGCUAACUACGUGCCAGCAGCCGCGGUAAUACGUAGGGGGCAAGCGUUAUCCGGAUUUACUGGGUGUAAAGGGAGCGUAGACGGCAGUGCAAGUCUGAAGUGAAAGCCCCGGGCUUAACCCGGGAAUUGCUUUGGAAACUGUACGGCUGGAGUGCUGGAGAGGUAAGCGGAAUUCCUAGUGUAGCGGUGAAAUGCGUAGAUAUUAGGAGGAACACCAGUGGCGAAGGCGGCUUACUGGACAGUAACUGACGUUGAGGCUCGAAAGCGUGGGGAGCAAACAGGAUUAGAUACCCCGGUACCA